AUUGCACGCUGGCGGCAGGCUUAACACAUGCAAGUCGAGCGAGCGGCGGACGGGUGAGUACUGUCUGGGAAACUGCCUGCUUGUUGGGGAUAACUACUGGAACCGGUAGCUAAUACCGCAUACCAUCAGAUGUGCCCAGAGGGGAUUAGCUCGUAGGUGGGGUAAUGGCUCACCUCGGCGACGAUCCCUAGCUGGUCUGAGAGGAUGACCAGCCACACGGGAACUGAGACACGGGCCAGACUCCGACGGGAGGCAGCAGUGGGGAAUAUUGCACAAUGGGCGCAAGCCUGAUGCAGCCAUGCCGCGUGUGUGAAGAAGGCCUUCGGGUUGUAAAGCACUUUCAGCGAGGAGGCGUUACUCGCAGAAGAAGCACCGGCUAACUCCGUGCCAGCAGCCGCGGUAAUUC
rnacentral:rRNA from 1 species